CCUUGAGUUUCUGUGGAACUUUCUUGUCACACAGGAUUCCUGAUGCAAGCCUCCACUUUGACAACCCCUCUCCUAUAUGAUGAGUGACGUCCCCGUCAAUAUCUCCGUCCCCCUGAAUCACCGACCAAAGAUAUCUGACACUGUCCCUCUUGGCGAUGACCUUAGAUCCAAUCAUCACGUCCCUGCCUACUUCGCUCGGCU
rnacentral:lncRNA from 1 species